rnacentral:rRNA from 1 species
AAAAGAAACCAACAGGGAUUGCCCUAGUAACGGCGAGUGAAGCGGCAACAGCUCAAAUUUGAAAUCUGGCCCCCGGGUCCGAGUUGUAAUUUGUAGAGGAUGCUUUUGGCGAGGUGCCUUCCGAGUUCCCUGGAACGGGACGCCAUAGAGGGUGAGAGCCCCGUCUGGUCGGACACCGAGCCUCUGUAAAGCUCCUUCGACGAGUCGAGUAGUUUGGGAAUGCUGCUCAAAAUGGGAGGUAUAUGUCUUCUAAAGCUAAAUAUUGGCCAGAGACCGAUAGCGCACAAGUAGAGUGAUCGAAAGAUGAAAAGCACUUUGAAAAGAGGGUUAAAAAGUACGUGAAAUUGUUGAAAGGGAAGCGCCUAUGACCAGACUUGGGCCCGGUGAAUCACCCAGCGUUCUCGCUGGUGCACUUCGCCGGGCACAGGCCAGCAUCAGUUUGGCGCGGGGGAGAAAGGCUUCGGGAAUGUGGCUCCCCUGGGAGUGUUAUAGCCCGUUGCGCAAUACCCUGCGCUGGACUGAGGUACGCGCAUUCGCAAGGAUGCUGGCGUAAUGGUCAUCAGCGACCCGUCUUGAAACACGGACCAAGGAGUCGUCUUCGUAUGCGAGUGUUCGGGUGUCAAACCCCUACGCGUAAUGAAAGUGAACGCAGGUGAGAGCUUCGGCGCAUCAUCGACCGAUCCUGAUGUUCUCGGAUGGAUUUGAGUAAGAGCAUACGGGGCCGGACCCGAAAGAAGGUGAACUAUGCCUGUAUAGGGUGAAGCCAGAGGAAACUCUGGUGGAGGCUCGCAGCGGUUCUGACGUGCGAAUCGAUCGUCAAAUAUGGGCAUGGGGGCGAAAGACUAAUCGA